GACGAACGCUGGCGGCGUGCUUAACACAUGCAAGUCGAACGGAAAGGCCCUGCUUUUGUGGGGUGCUCGAGUGGCGAACGGGUGAGUAACACGUGAGUAACCUGCCCUUGACUUUGGGAUAACUUCAGGAAACUGGGGCUAAUACCGGAUAGGAGCUCCUGCUGCAUGGUGGGGGUUGGAAAGUUUCGGCGGUUGGGGCUGGUAUCGCGGCUUAUCAGCUUGUUGGUGGGGUAGUGGCUUACAAAGGCUUUGACGGGUAGCCGGCCUGAGAGGGUGACCGGCCACAUUGGGCCUGAGAUACGGCCCAGACUCCUACGGGCGGCAGCAGUGGGGAAUAUUGCACAAUGGGCGGAAGCCUGAUGCAGCAACGCCGCGUGCGGGAUGACGGCCUUCGGGUUGUAAACCGCUUUCGCCUGUGACGAAGCGUGAGUGACGGUAAUGGGUAAAGAAGCACCGGCUAACUACGUG
rnacentral:rRNA from 1 species